CUGUAUCCCUGUGGCUGGCAGGACCCAAAAUGAUACCCAGGGGCUUUACUUCUGGGUUGAGCCACUGCUUCUCUGCCUGGAGCUGUCUCCACAUCUUCAGCAGCUUUCAUCUGUGAGACUUGGGAAGUCCCAGGAGGAAGAGCACAGUGGUCAGCUGCACUGGUUUUCCAUGUCGUUAUCUUGAGGAGGCAGAGAGGGCUUGAGCUGUCAUCUGCUGCUGGGAACUGCUGGGAACCAUCAUCCUCAUCGUGCUCAGGCUUCAGAUGGUUUACACAAGGUGAGAUCUUUGGAAAACUAACUGCCCAGAGCUCUGAAGCUUUCAGCCUUCACGCUAACGCACGGGCCCAGCUGGCUGGAGAUUAAAGAGCGCAGUUGAAAACCAAAAGAGCAUUUGAAAUUGCACCACUGAGCUGGCAGGAAAUUCCAGCUUUUUGUAGCUGUCGGAGGCGUUGGAACGGCGAGG